CUGGGGUUUGGGCAGCAGCAAAUGACACUGCGCUAAUUGGAAGCGCGAGAAGGAACUUAACGCGGGGAGCAAAUAAUUGCCAGAGAUAAAAUGGGGCCAGAGGAUGGCUGAUGCUGCUGAUAGGAAAGGCCAGAGGAAGAUUAUAUAGUUGGAAACACUCGGAGACGCGUCCUCUGUGUAAUUAGAAAGAGGACCUAGCAUACAGACUGAUGGCAACCUGGCCCUGCUUAGCCUGUGAUAUCUGUCAGGAUCGCGGUGCUGGGAGGCGUGACUGACGUGCUGAUUCUUUCGGUAUUACCAUCGGGAAUCCCAGCACCCUGGAACAAGGGAGUAGGAGAUGUUAAACAGAUGGGAGACUUUGCAAAUACACCGUAACUGCCGGCGUGGGAAUAUCAAGCAGCCAUGCACAGCACAGGAGGCCUCCCCACCCGGCUGGGUGCUCAGCGUCUGCCUCGGAGGACGGCUUGUGAGUGACCGAGCGCCCUGCAGGAGCCUUUUGCAGUCUGGGAACGGCCUGCUCUAGUGUCAGAGCUGUGUGUGAGCUAAAAUGUCUCAGACUUCAGUCCAGAAGUACUGCUCCUAACCAGAGGAACUGGGAAAGUUACAUGUGUGAGUUCAGAAAGGUUUUGAGGAAUAGAAAAGGUUUGAGUCCCCUUUAAAGACUUAAAUCAAAGAUCUUGAGUACCAGAGCGAUCUGUGGCUGUGUUUAUCAGUGGGGGAAAUACCCGAGGUACAUACUGAACGGAAGCAUGAGUGCUGGCACCAGGCUCAGCAAAAGAGCAAACCUCGGCAGUUCCCAUUCGUCAUCUGCAUCAUCAGCCAUCAGUCCUUCAGCACGUCUGUGACGCUGUCCUGGUUCCUGCUGUUGCCCAAGAAGUAAGAGCCCCACAAAGCUGCUGCGUGGAUUUGAAUCUUUGUACUCGAACUGCACGGCCUCCUGGGGGCCCUCCUGUCUGGGGAGUCACUGGCGCAUUCUGGGCAUCUCAAUUUCUGUAGGAAAGAAACAUACCUGAAUCCAUGACGGUUCCUUAUAUCCCUAGUAAAUCAGCAAUAUCUUAAAGAUGGCUCUGGAUACAUUAUAUUGAAUUAAAUUAAAAAUGUGGAGAAUAACAGACUGAAACUCAUGAAAAAUGCUGUUGCUUUCUGCAGGACGUGUUUGUUUUUAUGGCUUUCUUUGGUGGGUUGAGCAGCCCUCUUAUCCUUUCAGUAGUCUCAGCUUUAUGUCAGUUUAUAUAUUCCGUGUUUUAUGGAUCACUGGAAGAUAAUUCUGUUGUUUUCUAUUAGACCUUUAGUAAAUAAAAUGUCAGGGUUUUUUUCCGGUGCUGCA
rnacentral:lncRNA from 1 species